rnacentral:rRNA from 1 species
UAUCUCUGUAGAGUCUGCAUAUCAAUAAGCGGAGGAAAAGAAACUAACUAAGGAUUCCCUUAGUAACGGCGAGUGAAGCGGGAAGAGCUCAAAUUUGAAAUCUUCAAGGUUCUACCUUGACGAAUUGUAGUUUAAAGAAGUGUUUUCUGUUAGAUGAGUAGCAAAAGUUCCUUGGAAUGGGACAUCAUAGAGGGUGAGAAUCCCGUAUUUGGUUAUUCAUUCUAGCUUUGUGAUACACUUUCAAAGAGUCGGAUUGUUUGGGAAUGCAGUCCAGAAUGGGUGGUAAAUUUCAUCUAAAGCUAAAUAUUGGCGAGAGACCGAUAGCGAACAAGUACCGUGAGGGAAAGAUGAAAAGAACUUUGAAAAGAGAGUUAAACAGUACGUGAAAUUGUCAAAAGGGAAGCGUUUGACACCAGUGUUAGUUUUCUCGAAAAUCAAUUACAAAAUGGCAUUGAUUCUGUGUUGUAUUGACCUUAUCAGCUUUCUGCACUCUUUGUCUAGUCUUUCUUAAUGCACUUUUCGUUUAACAAGUCAACAUCAAUUUCUUUUGUUGUAAAAGAGUCAUUGGAAGGUGGCUUUCUUUUCGGAGAAAGUGUUUAUAGCCUUUGGCCUCUGCAAUCGGAGAGAUUGAGGUCUGCAGCGUAGAUCCUUCGGGGUUAGAUACAUUUGUGCUAAGUUAUAGCCUUCAUAGACAACUUGUUGACUAUGAUCAGUCAUGUAGCUUACUCGCUUAUGCUAUUUUACCUACGCUUAGGAUGUUGAAGAUGUAGCACAUCAU